GGCACUACGGUGCUGAAGCAACAAAUGCCCUGCUUCCAGGAAAAGCCUCUAAGCAUCAGGUAACAUCAAAUCGUACCCCAAACCGACACAGGUGGUCAGGUAGAGAAUACCAAGGCGCUUGAGAGAACUCGGGUGAAGGAACUAGGCAAAAUGGUGCCGUAACUUCGGGAGAAGGCACGCUGAUAUGUAGGUGAAGUCCCUCGCGGAUGGAGCUGAAAUCAGUCGAAGAUACCAGCUGGCUGCAACUGUUUAUUAAAAACACAGCACUGUGCAAACACGAAAGUGGACGUAUACGGUGUGACGCCUGCCCGGUGCCGGAAGGUUAAUUGAUGGGGUUAGCGCAAGCGAAGCUCUUGAUCGAAGCCCCGGUAAACGGCGGCCGUAACUAUAACGGUCCUAAGGUAGCGAAAUUCCUUGUCGGGUAAGUUCCGACCUGCACGAAUGGCGUAAUGAUGGCCAGGCUGUCUCCACCCGAGACUCAGUGAAAUUGAACUCGCUGUGAAGAUGCAGUGUACCCGCGGCAAGACGGAAAGACCCCGUGAACCUUUACUAUAGCUUGACACUGAACAUUGAGCCUUGAUGUGUAGGAUAGGUGGGAGGCUUUGAAGUGUGGACGCCAGUCUGCAUGGAGCCGACCUUGAAAUACCACCCUUUAAUGUUUGAUGUUCUAACGUUGACCCGUGAUCCGGGUUGCGGACAGUGUCUGGUGGGUAGUUUGACUGGGGCGGUCUCCUCCUAAAGAGUAACGGAGGAGCACGAAGGUUGGCUAAUCCUGGUCGGACAUCAGGAGGUUAGUGCAAUGGCAUAAGCCAGCUUGACUGCGAGCGUGACGGCGCGAGCAGGUGCGAAAGCAGGUCAUAGUGAUCCGGUGGUUCUGAAUGGAAGGGCCAUCGCUCAACGGAUAAAAGGUACUCCGGGGAUAACAGGCUGAUACCGCCCAAGAGUUCAUAUCGACGGCGGUGUUUGGCACCUCGAUGUCGGCUCAUCACAUCCUGGGGCUGAAGUAGGUCCCAAGGGUAUGGCUGUUCGCCAUUUAAAGUGGUACGCGAGCUGGGUUUAGAACGUCGUGAGACAGUUCGGUCCCUAUCUGCCGUGGGCGCUGGAGAACUGAGGGGGGCUGCUCCUAGUACGAGAGGACCGGAGUGGACGCAUCACUGGUGUUCGGGUUGUCAUGCCAAUGGCACUGCCCGGUAGCUAAAUGCGGAAGAGAUAAGUGCUGAAAGCAUCUAAGCACGAAACUUGCCCCGAGAUGAGUUCUCCCUGACUCCUUGAGAGUCCUGAAGGAACGUUGAAGACGACGACGUUGAUAGGCCGGGUGUGUAAGCGCAGCGAUGCGUUGAGCUAACCGGUACUAAUGAACCGUGAGG
rnacentral:rRNA from 1 species